ACUACUGCCAAGUACCAACACAAAAUAAGCAUAACACGAGAAAAAAUUUAGACAGGCUAAGAUAGUUUGGGCAUUAGAUAAUUCUUCAAAAACUAAAUAAAAAUAGGUGAUGACGAAUCGCACGUGAAUUUUAGCUCAAUAAUUUUAGCUCCAGCCACCGAGCCACCUCCCCUUUGAGUCCUCCUGAGCCACCUCCUCCGACACCGAGCCACCUCCACUGUGAGUCUGCAUCUAUGAUCUCUGCGACUCCAAGAAGGCUUCAAUCCCUGAAUCUCAGGGUGAGAGGUCGUAAACUGAUUACCCAACAGUCAAAUACCCAAUACCCAUGCUGAGAGCUUCUGUCUGAUUGCUGGAAGUCAAGUGGUGCUCUGGUGCUGGUGCCAUCGUAAAUCAUCUUCAUCAUCUCAGAUACCAAUUUCUCUUCUUUUCGGUUUUAUGAGUUUUGGUUAUUCUGGAAAUUAGAUGUUGAUAAUGUAUGCGUUCUGCAACGAUUUUGAUUGCUUGGAAUUGGAUGUGUUGAGUUUGAAUGAUCUGCAAUUGGAUGUGUUGAGUUUGAAUUUGAUAUAAUCAUUAGAGCAGCCAUUUAAUUAUAUCUGUUAAAGCAGAAUUCCUACAUUUAAUUCUGUCCGUUUAGGGCAGCCAUGUAUCCUAAUAUGUAACAUAUGAAUGUAAAGCUACUUCUUAGCAAUAUGUAAUGCUAAUAUGGUUUGCUGGAAUGUAACA